rnacentral:rRNA from 1 species
UACGAACCGUCCAAACGUUAUUCGGAAUCACUGGGCUUACAGAGUUCGUAGGCGGCGGAGAAAGUAGGGUGUGAAAGCCCUCGGCUCAACCGAGGAAUUGCGCCCUAAACUACUUCGCUUGAGGAGGCUAGAGGUGAGCAGAACAGAUGGUGGAGCGGUGAAAUGCGUUGAUAUCAUCUGGAAUACCGGAGGCGAAGGCGGCUCACUGGGACCUUUCUGACGCUGAGGAACGAAAGCUAGGGUAGCGAACGGGAUAGAAACCCCAGUAGUCC